rnacentral:rRNA from 1 species
AUUGAACGCUGGCGGCAUGCCUUACACAUGCAAGUCGAACGGCAGCACGGGAGCAAUCCUGGUGGCGAGUGGCGAACGGGUGAGUAAUAUAUCGGAACGUGCCCAGUAGUGGGGGAUAGCCCGGCGAAAGCCGGAUUAAUACCGCAUGAGACCUGAGGGUGAAAGCGGGGGAUCGCAAGACCUCGCGCUAUUGGAGCGGCCGAUAUCAGAGUAGCUAGUUGGUGGGGUAAAGGCCUACCAAGGCAACGAUCUGUAGUUGGUCUGAGAGGACGACCAGCCACACUGGGACUGAGACACGGCCCAGACUCCUACGGGAGGCAGCAGUGGGGAAUUUUGGACAAUGGGCGCAAGCCUGAUCCAGCAAUGCCGCGUGCAGGAAGAAGGCCUUCGGGUUGUAAACUGCUUUUGUCAGGGAAGAAAUCCCUUGGGAUAAUACCUCGGGGGGAUGACGGUACCUGAAGAAUAAGCACCGGCUAACUACGUGCCAGCCGCCGCUGUAAAAC